GAAGCUUGCUUCUAUGACGUUAGCGGCGGACGGGUGAGUAACACGUGGGCAACCUGCCUGUAAGACUGGGAUAACUUCGGGAAACCGAAGCUAAUACCGGAUAGGAUCUUCUCCUUCAUGGGAGAUGAUUGAAAGAUGGUUUCGGCUAUCACUUACAGAUGGGCCCGCGGUGCAUUAGCUAGUUGGUGAGGUAACGGCUCACCAAGGCAACGAUGCAUAGCCGACCUGAGAGGGUGAUCGGCCACACUGGGACUGAGACACGGCCCAGACUCCUACGGGAGGCAGCAGUAGGGAAUCUUCCGCAAUGGACGAAAGUCUGACGGAGCAACGCCGCGUGAGUGAUGAAGGCUUUCGGGUCGUAAAACUCUGUUGUUAGGGAAGAACAAGUACGAGAGUAACUGCUCGUACCUUGACGGUACCUAACCAGAAAGCCACGGCUAACUACGUGCCAGCAGCCGCGGUAAUACGUAGGUGGCAAGCGUUAUCCGGAAUUAUUGGGCGUAAAGCGCGCGCA
rnacentral:rRNA from 2 species